rnacentral:lncRNA from 1 species
ACUUACUUAGUUCCUUAGUCAAACUUACUUUCUUAAAAAAAAAAUCUCUACAUUGACACCUCAUAAUCUACUUAGAAAAUUAGAUAUUUAAUUAUAAAAUCUAAAAAAUAAAAUAAAUCAAUUUACUCUUAACUAACUAUCAAAUCUGGACAUCUUUUCUUCUUGCAUUGCAUAAUUCCAUAAAACAUUUUAAGGGUACAAACUCUAAACAAAAUAAUGUAGAGAUUUCAUCACCCUUCCUUGGCCCACAAACCACCAUCCUGCAUAUUGCAUUGACCUAAACCUUAACUUAAAAUCAAUUAGACGUUGGCCCC